rnacentral:rRNA from 1 species
GGUUGCGAAGAUACCAGCACUAAUGCACCGGAUCCCAUCAGAACUCCGCAGUUAAGCGUGCUUGGGCGAGAGUAGUACUAGGAUGGGUGACCCCCUGGGAAGUCCUCGUGUUGCAACCC